AGGGAAUAUUGGACAAUGGGGGCAACCCUGAUCCAGCCAUGCCGCGUGAGUGAAGAAGGCCCUCGGGUUGUAAAGCUCUUUUGUCCGGAAAGAAAAGCUUCGGGUUAAUACCCCGGGGUUCUGACGGUACCGGAAGAAUAAGCACCGGCUAACUUCGUGCCAGCAGCCGCGGUAAUACGAAGGGUGCAAGCGUUACUCGGAAUUACUGGGCGUAAAGCGUGCGUAGGUGGUUGUUUAAGUCUGAUGUGAAAGCCCUGGGCUCAACCUGGGAAUGGCAUUGGAAACUGGGCAGCUAGAGUGCGGUAGAGGGUAGUGGAAUUCCCGGUGUAGCAGUGAAAUGCGUAGAGAUCGGGAGGAACAUCUGUGGCGAAGGCGACUGCCUGGACCAGCACUGACACUGAGGCACGAAGGCGUGGGGAGCAAACA
rnacentral:rRNA from 1 species